UAGGAUGGAUAAAGAGUAGAAUAUAUUAUUGCAGCUACAAAAUAAGUUAAAACUGUUGUAGGUCGCAAAGUUUUUGGAAAACUAUAUGUAAACUACGUUAAUCAGCUUCAGAAUUGCCCUCCGAUAGCGGACAUUGAAGCCUUGAAGGAUCAAAGAGUAUUCCUUAAUUCCUCGUUUGGUAAGAUAUUACGAAACGAGAUAUUACUUUGCAUAUUACGAUAUAGAUAGUAAUAUGCAAAGUACGAGCAUUUGGUUGUUAGGGAUACGUGUACAAAUACAUUUUCAAGCCAUGCAACAUUUACAAAUUAAAUUCAAGAAAUUCGGUUUUUCGUGUCGGUCUGCCUCCACCCAGGCGAUUGUUAAAUUAAGAGCAGUAGUUUUGUCUAAAGUAAUAAAAUACAUACAUUUGUAAUAAAGAUAAGCCGAGGUGUGCAGUUCAUUUUCAAAAUGAACUGCCCCAUCUGCUUCGAUGAACUGCUGACUUCAUCCAAUGACGAUGCCAACCAUGUAGAUGAAGAUGAAGACUUGGAACCAUACCCACCGAAGAAUCAAACUCCUGUGGUGACCAUGUGCGGUCAUAUUUUUCAUGACCAUUGUAUCUCAGAAUGGUUCCGCAGCCCAUCUAAUGCAAGACAACGAACUUGUCCCACAUGCAGAAAGCGAGUGAGACAACACGAUCUUCGUCACGUUUGUCUAAAUAAUCGAAACAUUGCUGCUACUGCUCCAAAGGGAAAUGUCAAGAACAAACCAAACCCUGGCCAUCUUCCUGCUGGAGGUGUUUGCUUCAGUGAUGACCAUUUUGACAAGUUGAGCCAAGUCUAUUUGACGCUGAAAGACGUUUACGACAAGAAACGAGAGGACUUGCAAUCGACACAUGCAGCAAAUGUCAUUUUAAGGAACCUCAAAAGAGAACCAGAAAGAAUUCCGACGCCUAAGAACUACACGGAUAUUCCAGCCAAGAAACAGAACAUUUACCCAAGCAAACAUACUUAACCAUGCAACGAACUAGUACAGUAAGUAAUGUUAGGAAAAUAGUCUUCCCACAAGAUGAAACGAGGGCGAAUCAAAGAUAAUAAGUCUUGGCUAAAGUAUGUACAUAUAGAUUUUACAUACACAAAAUAAUCGGCUUGUUUAGAAAAUCUUGGAAAAUAAAUGUAACGUUACGCUAUACAUAAUUCAGCAAUUCUUUAACCAAAAUUUUAUAACCUGAGAUUUUCAUAAUUAAAGUUUCGUACAGAUCAAUAAAUAAUAGAUAGAUAAUUAUUGUAGCAUACACAAUUUAGCUAAUCGUAACAUCGUAACUCGUAAGCCAUAGGGCUUAUGCAACCUUCAUGCCUGUCUAUCUCCUAUAUGUAUCUUCAUAUUUUGGUCUAUGCAAAAUCCAAACACGUAGAAAGGAUGUUUUUUAGAAAGUUCAUCCUCAGCCAUUGAGUUUCCCAUCACACUCAACUGGGAAAGCUCAACAAGCAAAUAGACCAAAGAAAUUCAUACAAUUUCGCACUAGAUGAUCUGAAGAUACCUUCGCAAGACGACAGAAUUUCAAGUUUCGGAACUGAAAUACAAAAAUUCUUAG